rnacentral:rRNA from 1 species
GGGUGCGAUCAUACCAGCACUAAUGCACCCGAUCCCAUCAGAACUCCGCAAUUAAGCGCGCUUGGGUGAGAGUACUACUGGGAUGGGUGACCUCUUGGGAAUUCCUCGUGUCACACCCC